AUGGACUUCAUUAGUCAACUUUCUAACUCAUUUCGGCAUACCGUCAUCUGGGUGAUUUGUGAUCGUCUCUCCAAAUUUGUCCAUUUCAUUGCUCUACCCUCACACUUCACAGCAAAGGACCUCGCUUCCAAAUUCCUCGUAGGCAUUUUCCGCUUGAACAGAAUGCCUAAGUCCAUUGUGUCUGAUCGUAACCCUUUAUUCCUCAACAACUUCUGGAAGGAAUUCUUCAAGUCUCAGGGCACUACAUUGAAAUACAGUACCACUUAUCAUCCCGAAACUGAUGGCCAGACAGAAGUAGUAAACAGAUAA